rnacentral:lncRNA from 1 species
AAGAAACUAAAAUUAAAAUAAUACACGACUAACAAAGGCCAGAGGCUCCUGACUUGGGACAGGCGCAAAAAUGCGGCGGGGUUAAACAUGUUUGUGAGAUCUCAACCCCCCCCCCCCUAAUACCUCUAACCAAUGUAGAAAAGUAAACGCAUAACAAUACGCACAUUAAAAUUCAGUUCAAGAGAAGUCCGAGUCUGAUGUCA